rnacentral:rRNA from 1 species
UACAGAGGGUGCAAGCGUUAAUCGGAAUUACUGGGCGUACAGCGAGCGUAGUCGGUUAUUUAAGUCGGAUGUGAAAGCCCCUGGCUCAACUGGGGAAGUGCACCCGAAGCUGAGUGGCUUGAAUACAAAAGAGGGUCGCGGAAUUCCCGGUGUAGAGGUGAAAUUCGUAGAUAUCGGGAGGAACACCGGUGGCGAAGGCGGCGACCUGGGUUGAUAUUGACGCUGAGGCGCGAAAGCGUGGGGAGCAAACAGG